UUGAAGAGUUUGAUCAUGGCUCAGAUUGAACGCUGGCGGCAGGCCUAACACAUGCAAGUCGAGCGGUAGCACAGAGAGCUUGCUCUCGGGUGACGAGCGGCGGACGGGUGAGUAAUGUCUGGGAAACUGCCUGAUGGAGGGGGAUAACUACUGGAAACGGUAGCUAAUACCGCAUAAUGUCGCAAGACCAAAGUGGGGGACCUUCGGGCCUCAUGCCAUCAGAUGUGCCCAGAUGGGAUUAGCUGGUAGGUGGGGUAACGGCUCACCUAGGCGACGAUCCCUAGCUGGUCUGAGAGGAUGACCAGCCACACUGGAACUGAGACACGGUCCAGACUCCUACGGGAGGCAGCAGUGGGGAAUAUUGCACAAUGGGCGCAAGCCUGAUGCAGCCAUGCCGCGUGUGUGAAGAAGGCCUUCGGGUUGUAAAGCACUUUCAGCGGGGAGGAAGGCGAUAAGGUUAAUAACCUUGUCGAUUGACGUUACCCGCAGAAGAAGCACCGGCUAACUCCGUGCCAGCAGCCGCGGUAAUACGGAGGGUGCAAGCGUUAAUCGGAAUUACUGGGCGUAAAGCGCACGCAGGCGGUCUGUCAAGUCGGAUGUGAAAUCCCCGGGCUCAACCUGGGAACUGCAUUCGAAACUGGCAGGCUAGAGUCUUGUAGAGGGGGGUAGAAUUCCAGGUGUAGCGGUGAAAUGCGUAGAGAUCUGGAGGAAUACCGGUGGCGAAGGCGGCCCCCUGGACAAAGACUGACGCUCAGGUGCGAAAGCGUGGGGAGCAAACAGGAUUAGAUACCCUGGUAGUCCACGCUGUAAACGAUGUCGAUUUGGAGGUUGUGCCCUUGAGGCGUGGCUUCCGGAGCUAACGCGUUAAAUCGACCGCCUGGGGAGUACGGCCGCAAGGUUAAAACUCAAAUGAAUUGACGGGGGCCCGCACAAGCGGUGGAGCAUGUGGUUUAAUUCGAUGCAACGCGAAGAACCUUACCUGGUCUUGACAUCCACAGAACUUUCCAGAGAUGGAUUGGUGCCUUCGGGAACUGUGAGACAGGUGCUGCAUGGCUGUCGUCAGCUCGUGUUGUGAAAUGUUGGGUUAAGUCCCGCAACGAGCGCAACCCUUAUCCUUUGUUGCCAGCGGUUAGGCCGGGAACUCAAAGGAGACUGCCAGUGAUAAACUGGAGGAAGGUGGGGAUGACGUCAAGUCAUCAUGGCCCUUACGACCAGGGCUACACACGUGCUACAAUGGCAUAUACAAAGAGAAGCGACCUCGCGAGAGCAAGCGGACCUCAUAAAGUAUGUCGUAGUCCGGAUUGGAGUCUGCAACUCGACUCCAUGAAGUCGGAAUCGCUAGUAAUCGUAGAUCAGAAUGCUACGGUGAAUACGUUCCCGGGCCUUGUACACACCGCCCGUCACACCAUGGGAGUGGGUUGCAAAAGAAGUAGGUAGCUUAACCUUCGGGAGGGCGCUUACCACUUUGUGAUUCAUGACUGGGGUGAAGUCGUAACAAGGUAACCGUAGGGGAACCUGCGGUUGGAUCACCUCCUU
rnacentral:rRNA from 1 species